GGCUUGGGAUGGAGAAGCCCGGCCGAGCGGCAUCCCCGUUCUGCGCUCGAUACGUCUGGGCUGAGAGUCUGGGUCUCGCGUCCGGCGCGGUGGCGUCGCCGAGGGCGGGGCGGGGAGGCCCUCGGGCUUCCUCUCUUCCAAGGUUCCCGGCUCUGGGCCUGGGCGUCUUGGGGACCGCUGCUGGCCUGAUUCUGGGGGGACUCAGGGGCUAGAAUAGGACGAUCUGGAUUCGGGGAUCACUGAGGGGAUAGAUCAGGGCGAGCUGGGAGGCCUGGAGUCUGCCGCUGGCCUCAUCCUCGGGUCACUCAAGGACUGCAUCCGAGAGGACGCUUUGUCAGCCAGCUGAGCUGGGAGGCCUGGGGAUCCGCGGGAUGCGUCCAAGUCUGUCCCGGCUGCUGGGGAAGCCGUUGAUCCCGGGCCGAACUGGAAGGCUGGAACCAGUCUUGGGCUUCACGUUAAAGUAGUGAAAUACACGAGGCGGAAAAUUGGCCUAAAGAUCUCUAAAGCUGCCUCUGGCUCCCGAGUGCUGGGAUUAAAGGCUUGCGCCACCAACGCCCGGCUUAUCUUCCUUUCUUAUGUAUUAAAGCUGUCUUUACUUGUAUAGAGUUCUCUUGCUAAGUUAUAAUGGUUCUAUAAAUGAGUUUUUUUUAGGUUUUCUAAGUUCUGACUGUGGUGGUGGUUGUUGCUUGGAUAAAUCUUGCCUUCUAGCCUAGGAUUGCUGGAAUUUGUGAUACACUACUCUGGCCUCAGUAGUGUUGUCAUUGUAGGUGUGAGCCACAGUGAUCCACUUACACAUAUAAUUUUGUUUCUUUAAUUACCAAGUAUUGUUUGCAACAGAGGAAUACAUUGUAUCAAAUGUAUUCAAGGACACUUUAGUUCUGACUUCUUGCUUUAGGUAUAUUCAGGGCUGAUUUUUGUCUUCUUUUAAACUUUAAAGGACAAAAAAGGAAACUCCUGAGAUACUUAGUAUGAGGGUCCAAGAAGUGACAUUUCAAAUAUAAAUUGCUUUUUUUGUUUACUCAAAGGAAUUCCAAUGAUUUGUUACCAGGAUGGACGAAGGGGAACAGCUGCUUCACAGUUUUGUUUUUGUUUGUUUUGUUUUUCAAGUGUAACCCUGGCUGUCCUAGAACUCGCUCCAUAGAUCAGGCUGGCUUUGGACUUGUCGGUCUUCCUAGGGUGGGAUUGAAGGCCUGUGCACCCACCGUUGGGCUGCUUCAUAUUUCUUAGGAAAACAGUUCUCUUGGUAGGUUGGAAGCCAAUGUGGAACAUGCAAAGUGAUUUGUGGGUAGGUUGUGGGGAAUUCUUGAAGUGUUGGGAAAGUGGUUCAGACUUUGUAUUUGAGAUAUGCCACUGUGGCUACUCAAUGGGACAAAUCUGAAAGUAGAGACUUAGGAUGCCUUGUCGAUAAGCUAAGCAAGCCUAAACUGAUUUGGACAGAUAGACAUAAGGAUCAAGUUUGAGGUAUGGCUUGAAAAUGAAAGUGUCAGAAUUUUGGUACUGGUGAGUAAGGGAAGAAUCAAGACAACUUGUGGCUAGACUAAAUUGGAUGACGAAGUUCUUAUAAUCAAAAAUGACAGGUGGAGAAAACGUACAUUUGACAAAGAUGAUGGCACAUCUAUGUUUCAAUGACCCAUGAGUCAAAGGACAAAACAAACACAAAUCUUCAUACAAUAGCAAUGAAAACAAGUUGCCAAAAUAGGUGAGGUAGAAACAACCAGCAUAAAAUUUACAGAAUGGCUACUAUUUGCUCAUUUCCAUCUAGUAAGUGGAAUGCCCCUUACUUGAUCACCACUUUAUUAAGUGAGGUUUUGGUACACCCCCUUGUCUGUCUGGUUCAGAGACACAGGUAAGUCUAGUCCUUACCUCUCAUUAAAACAGCUGCUUUCCAAAGCAGACUGAGAAACAAACCUUAAUUAAUCAAAAUGCAGAGAACAAGUGAAUGUGAAGUAUCCAGCCCCAACUGUUACAUCUCAACAUAGCCCACCCAUCUAAGGCCUAGGGAACAGCAGAAAGUGGAGGGGGAAAGUUGUAAGAACCAGAGGACCAGGAAGUCUGCUGCAAGAUUGUCUUCUAGAUGUGACAAGUAUCUAUGCCCAUGAAGUCUCGUAAAUAUGAUAGCUUAAACAAGACCUGAACAAUGACAACACCAAUUAGCAAGGAAGAGGGAAAUCCAUAGGGCAUCACUACUUGACAAAGAGCCACAGACAUUACCAACUGCUGAUAGAAUUAGUCUUCCCCACAGAUGGCGUCAAAUCCCAGCACUGGAAGCUUCAUUUAGUGACAAGAGAUGAUCAGUUUUUCUAUGUAGGAACUUGGUGAUAUGAAUCUACACCUUGGAACAGCCUUCAUUGUGUCUCAUAAGUUGGGAUGUCACUGUUACCACUUCAGAAAAGAGGAGAAGGCAAUAACAAUGUAUCAUCUAAAUGAAGAUGUGGAUAAAACCAAGAAUGAGAAUGAGGAAAGACAAUGACAGAAGACAGAAUUCGGAGAGAAAGGAGGAAAGUGACCCUGGUUUGCAUUCACGGUAUGAAAAGCAUAGUGAUACCCACUAAUGGAACUAAAUGCCAAUUUGACAUGACUUAAAAUUCCGUACCCAUUUAAAGAUGGACCAACAUGACACAUUCAUCAUUAUGAAUACAGGAUGACACUUGCUGAGGAAAAUGAAGCAUGGAGAAUUGUACAACUUAAAAAAAAUUGUCAGUCACUAAAUGAUAAAGCAACAGGUGUGAACGAAGCCUAGGGAUUCCCAGCAUCCUGACUAAGUGUGUGCAGCUGUCCAGUAGAAUUCAUCUGGAUGCAUGGGAUCUAACUUGUCCUCUGAAAGAAGAUACUAUGAGAAACAUCAGACACACGAUAUGUUCGUAGGAGCCGGGCAUUGGUGGCAUACUCGGGAGGCAGAGGCAAGCGGAUCUCUGAGAGUUCAAGGCCAGCCUGGUCUACAGAGUGAGUUCCAGGACAGCCUCCAAAACAAUACAGAGAAACCCUGUCUCAAAAAAACAACAAAACAAAACAAAAAACCGGUAUGUUCGUCGGAACUGUAGUAAGUUUGGAAUAAUACAUCAGAAGAAAAAAGGUCAUGAACUUACUUGUGACUGGUAUCUGUGUAGAAGAGCCACUUCAUCUCUUACUGGAAUGAUAUCAGAAGGAACUGACGUGUAGCAUGGAAAUCCAGCUAGGAUCUCUUCCCGUUUGCUGGCAGUGACAUUAGCAAACAUGGGGUAGCGGUCCACAGAGGCAAACUCACUUGCUGCACAUUCAUAGUAGGUGCCUGUCAUCAGGGUCACUGUCAGCCAUGUCAGCGGAGCAACCAGCGCUCUCCCAGUGAUGCUGAAGAACAUCAGACAAGCCAGUCUCCUCUCCAGAGGGCUGCUUCUCCGGUAGGGAGGGGUACAGCUGCAGCAGCAGUAUUCACUGACAGUGGUCCACAUUUGACCUCUUAGAGCGUAGCCAGCAAUCAGGAGGAUCAAGGCAGGGACCACGAGAAAAGCUGAACCAUAAUAGAAGUUUUUUCCGACCUGACAUGGACAAUUGAAUGUGUAAGAGGAGAACAGUUGCUGCCCGCAAAUAGUCAAAAUCGCAAUCAAAGAAUUGGUACACGUUCCACUUCUCUGCAAAGACGAGAGCAUACAACCGAGACUUGGGUUCAUCGUGGAAGUUCUGACCCAGCCAGCUGCUGGCCCUUUCUGAUCUCUAGACUCCACCAGGUCUGAUCAUUUUAUAGGAUUGCACUGGUUUAACUGGUUGUGUCAAGUGACCCAGCAUCCUUCUAUGUUUAAAGGAUCAUAGACUCUUCUCAUGUGCUUUGUGAACCCUGAGCUAAUAAAUUCACACCAGGUCACAACUGGGCGAAAGGAAGGGAUCUCAGUUUUGUCUGAAAAGAGAACUUUUCAAUGUCCCAUCAUAAACAGCCACAGCACACUUGCUAGGCAGAAGCCCUCCAUCUUGCUAUGCAACACUUUGUACAACAUGGAAUGUUAAGCACUAGCCAACACAGUCUAGGAAGCAAAACAGAGACACUCUUACCUCAGUGACAAACACAUCCUACAGCCAAAGCAUUGCAACACGGAGAAAUGGAAACUGCCAAAUAUUAGAGGAAUCCAAAAUUUCUAGGAGGUCCCAAAAUGUUUUCUAAACGAGAAGGGGCCAGGCACAACAGAGUCACGUCAAAACAAAGAUGUCUGUCAACAGGCUUUUGCUAUGUGUCGAUUUAAAGUUAAAUUGCAAAUUUAUUUUCACAACAUCCCUUGGUUAUAUGAAAAUGUGAUUAUUUGUAAUAGUUGUAAUAGUUUUAAAUAAGAAUGAAGUGAUCAAACAUGUAAGCUGUUUGUACUAUAUAAUUAGGAAAUAUUUACCAUACAAUUUCUAUGUA